rnacentral:rRNA from 1 species
CAAUAGCGUAUAUUAAAGUUGUUGCAGUUAAAAAGCUCGUAGUCGGAUUUUGGCAUCGCGCCGAACUGUCUGCCGAUUGGUAAGCACGGUUUGGCGGUUGCUUCCUUCCGGAGGCUCGUUUCCUUCUUAACUGAAGGGUUCGUAGGUUCCGGUUCUUUUACUUUGAGAAAAUUAGAGUGUUCAAAGCAGGCCUAUGCUCUGAAUAGGUUAGCAUGGAAUAAUGGAAUAGGACUUUGGUUCUAUUUUGUUGGUUUCUAGGACCGAAGUAAUGAUUAAUAGGGACAGUUGGGGGCAUUCAUAUUCCAUUGUCAGAGGUGAAAUUCUUGGAUUAACGGAAGAUGAACUUCUGCGAAAGCAUCUGCCAAGGAUGUUUUCAUUGA